CAGUCGAGCGGAAACGAGUUAUCUGAACCUUCGGGGGACGAUAACGGCGUCGAGCGGCGGACGGGUGAGUAAUGCCUAGGAAAUUGCCCUGAUGUGGGGGAUAACCAUUGGAAACGAUGGCUAAUACCGCAUGAUGCCUACGGGCCAAAGAGGGGGACCUUCGGGCCUCUCGCGUCAGGAUAUGCCUAGGUGGGAUUAGCUAGUUGGUGAGGUAAGGGCUCACCAAGGCGACGAUCCCUAGCUGGUCUGAGAGGAUGAUCAGCCACACUGGAACUGAGACACGGUCCAGACUCCUACGGGAGGCAGCAGUGGGGAAUAUUGCACAAUGGGCGCAAGCCUGAUGCAGCCAUGCCGCGUGUAUGAAGAAGGCCUUCGGGUUGUAAAGUACUUUCAGUCGUGAGGAAGGCGGCGUCGUUAAUAGCUGCGUUGUUUGACGUUAGCGACAGAAGAAGCACCGGCUAACUCCGUGCCAGC
rnacentral:rRNA from 1 species